CGCUGGCGGCAUGCCUUACACAUGCAAGUCGAACGGCAGCAUAGGAGCUUGCUCCUGAUGGCGAGUGGCGAACGGGUGAGUAAUAUAUCGGAACGUGCCCUAGAGUGGGGGAUAACUAGUCGAAAGACUAGCUAAUACCGCAUACGAUCUACGGAUGAAAGUGGGGGAUCGCAAGACCUCAUGCUCCUGGAGCGGCCGAUAUCUGAUUAGCUAGUUGGUGGGGUAAAAGCCUACCAAGGCAACGAUCAGUAGCUGGUCUGAGAGGACGACCAGCCACACUGGGACUGAGACACGGCCCAGACUCCUACGGGAGGCAGCAGUGGGGAAUUUUGGACAAUGGGGGCAACCCUGAUCCAGCAAUGCCGCGUGAGUGAAGAAGGCCUUCG
rnacentral:rRNA from 1 species